ensembl:lncRNA
UGAUAAUGUACGUUAGUUUAAUGUUAGUUUAAACCUUGACUUUUAAUUGCGAUGCUCUAGAAAUAUUCCAUCUGUGAUUCUAUCUAUGAUGACAUAUUUAGUUUGCUUCAGAUUUACGCCAUAUUAUCCACUAGAUAGCUGCUGUUUCCGGGGGUAGCCCAUCGAAUGGAAACUUAGAAACGUAUCAUCCAGACUAGCAAAGGACCAGCAAGAGAUGUGUCAUGUGUCCAACGUCCGUCCUCAUCCUUUUCUGUCUUGCAACUUCAAUGAAGUUAAUUAUUUAACUGUUCACGACACCCCUAUAUCCCUCGUUUAGCCUUUUGACCCGAUUGGCUAUAGGAACUGAUCAUAGGACUGACCUCUACUGUCUGCAGCUACUGACUCAAUGUUACUACCGCUACUGUCAAAAACUACUGUUUGUGUGCAAGUGAUAAUAAGGUAUGUUGUUUUGAAUGAAAUACAGGACAAUGAUCUCUAGAUACAGGUGAAUUACAGGACUAUGAUCUCUAAUGGUGAAAUACAGGACUAUGAUCUCUAAUGGUGAAAUACAGGACUAUGAUCUAUAAUGGUGAAAUACAGGCAUAUGAUCUCUAGAUACAGCUGAAAUACAGGACUAUGAUCUCUGAUACAGGACUAUGAUCUCUAAUGGUGAAAUACAGGACUAUGAUCUCUAAUGGUGAAAUACAGGACUAUGAUCUCUGAUACAGGACUAUGAUCUCUAAUGGUGAAAUACAGGACUAUGAUCUCUAAUGGUGAAAUACAGGACUAUGAUCUCUGAUACAGGACUAUGAUCUCUAAUGGUGAAAUACAGGACUAUGAUCUCUAAUGGUGAAAUACAGGACUAUGAUCUAUAAUGGUGAAAUACAGGACUAUGAUCUCUAAUGGUGAAAUACAGGACUAUGAUCUCUGAUACAGCUGAAAUACAGGACUAUGAUCUCUGAUACAGGACAAUGAUCUCUAAGGAUGAAAUACAGGACUAUGAUCUCUGAUACAGGACUAUGAUCUCUAAUGGUGAAAUACAGGACUAUGAUGUCUAUGGAUGAAAUACAGGACUAUGAUCUCUAAUGGUGAAAUACAGGACUAUGAUCUCUAAGGAUGAAAUACAGGACUAUGAUCUCUAAUGGUGAAAUACAGGACUAUGAUCUCUAAUGGUGAAAUACAGGACUAUGAUCUCUAAUGGUGAAUUACAGGACUAUAAUCUCUAAUGGUGAAAUACAGGACUAUGAUCUCUAAUGGUGAAAUACAGGACUAUGAUCUCUAAUGGUGAAAUACAGGACUAUGAUCUCUAAUGGUGAAAUACAGGACUAUGAUCUGUGAUGAUGAAAUGUAUAUCUGUGCUGUUUGAUCAUGACUACUUGAAUUACAUUUGGUGGAAAUACAUAACGACGAACGCUGUAAUACUUUCAGAUGUUUAUUGAAUAAAUACUGGCAGAUGUAUGACUCAUCAUGCUGUGUGG